AUGCACGCUGGCGGCGUGCCUAAUCCAUGCCAGUCGAGCGAACAGACGAGGAGCUUGCUCCUCUGACGUUAGCGGCGGACGGGUGAGUAACACGUGGAUAACCUACCUAUAAGACUGGGAUAACUUCGGGAAACCGGAGCUAAUACCGGAUAAUAUAUUGAACCGCAUGGUUCAAUAGUGAAAGACGGUUUUGCUGUCACUUAUAGAUGGAUCCGCGCCGCAUUAGCUAGUUGGUAAGGUAACGGCUUACCAAGGCAACGAUGCGUAGCCGACCUGAGAGGGUGAUCGGUCACACUGGAACUGAGACACGGUCCAGACUCCUACGGGGGGCAGCAGUAGGGAAUCUUCCGCAAUGGGCGAAAGCCUGACGGAGCAACGCCGCGUGAGUGAUGAAGGUCUUCGGAUCGUAAAACUCUGUUAUUAGGGAAGAACAAAUGUGUAAGUAACUAUGCACGUCUUGACGGUACCUAAUCAGAAAGCCACGGCUAACUACGUG
rnacentral:rRNA from 1 species